UCUAAUAUGGCAGAUUAGUGCAAUGGAUUUAAGCCCCAUAUAUAAAGUACCUUACUUUUAUUAGAA
rnacentral:tRNA from 1 species